rnacentral:rRNA from 1 species
AGAGUUUGAUCCUGGCUCAGAACGAACGCUGGCGGCGUGGAUUAGGCAUGCAAGUCGAACGCGAACGGGAUGCCUCGGAUCCUUCGGGUGAAGAGGCCCCCUAGUAGAGUGGCGAACGGGUGAGUAACGCGUGGGGAACCUGCCCUACAGUUGGGAAUAACCUCGAGAAAUCGGGGCUAAUACCGAAUACGAUCUUUGCCUCGCAUGUGGUGAAGAUGAAAGGCGCCCUCUGUUUCAAGGUGCCGCUGAAGGAUGGUCCCGCGUCCUAUUAGCUUGUUGGUGGGGUAACGGCCUACCAAGGCGACGAUGGGUAGCCGGCCUGAGAGGGUGGUCGGUCACACUGGGACUGAGAUACGGCCCAGACUCCUACGGGAGGCAGCAGUCGAGAGGCUUCGGCAAUGGACGAAAGUCUGACCGAGCGACGCCGCGUGAGUGAUGAAGGCCUUCGGGUUGUAAAGCUCUGUCAUGUGGGAAGAAAUGCCACCUGGUUAAUACCCUGGUGGCUUGACGCUACCACAAGAGGAAGCUCCGGCCAACUCCGUGCCAGCAGCCGCGGUAAUACGGGGGGAGCAAGCGUUGUUCGGAAUUACUGGGCGUAAAGGGCGUGUAGGCGGUUUGAUAAGUCGGGUGUGAAAUCUCCAGGCUCAACCUGGAGGGGCCAUCCGAUACUGUCAGACUAGAGUGCGGGAGAGGAAGAUGGAAUUCCUGGUGUAGCGGUGGAAUGCGUAGAUAUCAGGAAGAACACCGGUAGCGUAGGCGGUCUUCUGGCCCGACACUGACGCUGAUGCGCGAAAGCUGGGGGAGCAAACGGGAUUAGAUACCCCGGUAGUCCCAGCCGUAAACGAUGGGCACUAGGUGUAGGAGGUAUUGACCCUUUCUGUGCCGAAGUUAACGCGUUAAGUGCCCCGCCUGGGGAGUACGACCGCAAGGUUGAAACUCAAAGGAAUUGACGGGGCCCCGCACAAGCGGUGGAGCAUGUGGUUCAAUUCGAUGCAACGCGAAGAACCUUACCCGGGUUUGACAUCACGAUGCCGGUCUCGGAAACGGGACUUUCCUUUUGGGACGUCGUGACAGGUGGUGCAUGGCUGUCGUCAGCUCGUGUCGUGAGAUGUUGGGUUAAGUCCCGCAACGAGCGCAACCCUCGCCGCCUAGUUGCCAGCAGGUUAAGCUGGGCACUCUAGGGGUACUGCCGGUGAUGAACCGGAGGAAGGUGGGGAUGACGUCAAGUCCUCAUGCUCCUUACAUCCGGGGCUACACACGUGCUACAAUGGCCGGUACAGCGGGCUGCAAAGCCGCGAGGUGGAGCCAAUCCCUAAAAGCCGGUCUCAGUUCGGAUUGGAGUCUGCAACUCGACUCCAUGAAGUUGGAAUCGCUAGUAAUCGCGGAUCAGCACGCCGCGGUGAAUACGUUCCCGGGGCUUGUACACACCGCCCGUCAAGCCACGAAAGCAAGGAGUACCCGAAGUCGCUGGCCCAACCUUUCGGGGAGGGAAGUGCCUAAGGUAAGCCUAGCGAUUGGGGCUAAGUCGUAACAAGGUA